ACAGAGGUCUCAAGCGUUGUUCGGAAUCACUGGGCGUAAAGGGUGCGUAGGUGGCGUGGUAAGUCAGAUGUGAAAGCCCGGGGCUCAACCUCGGAAUUGCAUCCGAUACUACCACGCUAGAGUACUGAAGAGGUGACUAGAAUUCUCGGUGUAGCAGUGAAAUGCGUAGAUAUCGAGAGGAAUACCAACGGCGAAGGCAGGUCACUGGGCAGUUACUGACACUGAGGCACGAAGGCUAGGGUAGCGAACGGG
rnacentral:rRNA from 1 species